UCAUCUUCGGGGGUAGAGCACUGUUUCGGCUAGGGGGUCAUCCCGACUUACCAACCCGAUGCAAACUACGAAUACCGAAGAAUGUUAUCACGGGAGACACACGGCGGGUGCUAACGUCCGUCGUGAAGAGGGAAACAACCCAGACCGCCAGCUAAGGUCCCAAAGUCAUGGUUAAGUGGGAAACGAUGUGGGAAGGCACAGACAGCCAGGAUGUUGGCUUAGAAGCAGCCAUCAUUUAAAGAAAGCGUAAUAGCUCACUGGUCGAGUCGGCCUGCGCGGAAGAUGUAACGGGGCUAAACCAUGCACCGAAGCUGCGGCAGCGACACUAUGUGUUGUUGGGUAGGGGAGCGUUCUGUAAGCCUGCGAAGGUGACCUGUGAGGGUUGCUGGAGGUAUCAGAAGUGCGAAUGCUGACAUAAGUAACGAUAAAGCGGGUGAAAAGCCCGCUCGCCGGAAGACCAAGGGUUCCUGUCCAACGUUAAUCGGGGCAGGGUGAGUCGACCCCUAAGGCGAGGCCGAAAGGCGUAGUCGAUGGGAAACAGGUUAAUAUUCCUGUACUUGGUGUUACUGCGAAGGGGGGACGGAGAAGGCUAUGUUAGCCGGGCGACGGUUGUCCCGGUUUAAGCAUGUAGGCUGGUUGUCCAGGCAAAUCCGGAUAAUCAAGGCUGAGGUGUGAUGACGAGGCACUACGGUGCUGAAGUAACAAAUGCCCUGCUUCCAGGAAAAGCCUCUAAGCAUCAGGUAACAUCAAAUCGUACCCCAAACCGACACAGGUGGUCAGGUAGAGAAUACCAAGGCGCUUGAGAGAACUCGGGUGAAGGAACUAGGCAAAAUGGUGCCGUAACUUCGGGAGAAGGCACGCUGGUGUGUAGGUGAAGCCCCUGCGGGUGGAGCUGAGACCAGUCGAAGAUACCAGCUGGCUGCAACUGUUUAUUAAAAACACAGCACUGUGCAAACACGAAAGUGGACGUAUACGGUGUGACGCCUGCCCGGUGCCGGAAGGUUAAUUGAUGGGGUUAUCCGUAAGGAGAAGCUCUUGAUCGAAGCCCCGGUAAACGGCGGCCGUAACUAUAACGGUCCUAAGGUAGCGAAAUUCCUUGUCGGGUAAGUUCCGACCUGCACGAAUGGCGUAAUGAUGGCCAGGCUGUCUCCACCCGAGACUCAGUGAAAUUGAACUCGCUGUGAAGAUGCAGUGUACCCGCGGCAAGACGGAAAGACCCCGUGAACCUUUACUAUAGCUUGACACUGAACAUUGAGCCUUGAUGUGUAGGAUAGGUGGGAGGCUUUGAAGCGUGGACGCCAGUCUGCGUGGAGCCAACCUUGAAAUACCACCCUUUAAUGUUUGAUGUUCUAACGUUGGCCCCUUAUCGGGGUUGCGGACAGUGUCUGGUGGGUAGUUUGACUGGGGCGGUCUCCUCCCAAAGCGUAACGGAGGAGCACGAAGGUUAGCUAAUCCUGGUCGGACAUCAGGAGGUUAGUGCAAUGGCAUAAGCUAGCUUGACUGCGAGCGUGACGGCGCGAGCAGGUGCGAAAGCAGGUCAUAGUGAUCCGGUGGUUCUGAAUGGAAGGGCCAUCGCUCAACGGAUAAAAGGUACUCCGGGGAUAACAGGCUGAUACCGCCCAAGAGUUCAUAUCGACGGCGGUGUUUGGCACCUCGAUGUCGGCUCAUCACAUCCUGGGGCUGAAGUAGGUCCCAAGGGUAUGGCUGUUCGCCAUUUAAAGUGGUACGCGAGCUGGGUUUAGAACGUCGUGAGACAGUUCGGUCCCUAUCUGCCGUGGGCGCUGGAGAAUUGAGGGGGGCUGCUCCUAGUACGAGAGGACCGGAGUGGACGCAUCACUGGUGUUCGGGUUGUCAUGCCAAUGGCACUGCCCGGUAGCUAAAUGCGGAAGAGAUAAGUGCUGAAAGCAUCUAAGCACGAAACUUGCCCCGAGAUGAGUUCUCCCUGAGACUUUAAGUCUCCUGAAGGAACGUUAAAGACGAUGACGUUGAUAGGCCGGGUGUGUAAGCGCAGCGAUGCGUUGAGCUAACCGGUACUAAUGAACCGUGAGGCUUAACCUU
rnacentral:rRNA from 1 species